UGCAGAGCCUCCUUGGAACCCAGACAAGGGAGGCCUGAGAUCUGGCCCUGGUGUUUGGCCUCAGGACCAUCCUCUGCCCUCAGCUUCCUCCACAGGGCAGGACCACAGCUCACAAGGAUCCCAAUGCCAUCUUCCUGAGCUUCCAACACCUGCUCCGAGGAAAGGACUUCUGGAUUGUUGGAGACAAACUUCACUGCCUCAGCCAGAACUACUGGCUCUGGGCUUCUGAAGCGGCAGCAGGGAUUCAG
rnacentral:sRNA from 1 species